ACUACUAGUACUACUACCACCACUACUACUAGUACUGCUACUACUAUGACUUUGGACACUACUUCCCACAAAGUAAAUAAUACAGCCAGUAUUUGUCAAAUGAAUGAGCCUCAAUUUCUCCAUCAGCAAAGUGGAUAGAACAAGACUUUUGUGAGAAUCAAAUGGAAUAAUGUCCUUGAAACAUGUUGCACGCUAUGAAGCAAUGUAUAAAUGCCAGUCAUCACCACUAUACCUUUUGCAUCCGGGAAGUUUAGCCAUUUUUAAGAAAGCCUGCAGGUUAUUUCCAUAAGGUUCAACCCACUGAGUGGAUGGUGAGCUCCACAGAGCCUGAGCACCGCCAUUCCUUGAUUUUUUGCUGAAGACUUUAGAGAACCCAGGUGAAUGAGUAUCUGGAGAUGGAGUUGACCAGGUUACAACCGUAGAAGCUUCAAAAGGUCAUGAGAACUAUCAGGGGUCCUCUCAGCCGCCAGACUCAGUAGCAGAGAUCACUGGAGCCAGUAGUAGCUGAGUCUAAUAAAGAGUCUUCCCUGAAGAGCUAUCUACUUCACCCAGUCCAGCAGUAGAUUGACUUAGCUGCUAAAAAAAUGAGUCAUGCAAGGAGCCAAUCCAGUGGAUCAAAGGAUGAGUUUUCUUCCUUCCUUCCUUCCCUUUCUUCCUUCUUUUCAUCACUCCCUUCUUUCUUCUUUCCC